rnacentral:rRNA from 1 species
UGGGGAAUUUUGGACAAUGGGCGAAAGCCUGAUCCAGCAAUGCCGCGUGUGUGAAGAAGGCCUUCGGGUUGUAAAGCGCUUUUGUCCGGAAAGAAAUCCUUGGCUCUAAUACAGUCGGGGGAUGACGGUACCGGAAGAAUAAGCACCGGCUAACUACGUGCCAGCAGCCGCGGUAAUACGUAGGGUGCAAGCGUUAAUCGGAAUUACUGGGCGUAAAGCGUGCGCAGGCGGUUUGCUAAGACCGAUGUGAAAUCCCCGGGCUCAACCUGGGAACUGCAUUGGUGACUGGCAGGCUAGAGUAUGGCAGAGGGGGGUAGAAUUCCACGUGUAGCAGUGAAAUGCGUAGAGAUGUGGAGGAAUACCGAUGGCGAAGGCAGCCCCCUGGGCCAAUACUGACGCUCAUGCACGAAAGCGUGGGGAGCAAAACAGGAUUAGAUACCCUGGUAGUCCACGCCCUAAACGAUGUCAACUAGUUGUUGGGGAUUCAUUUCCUUAGUAACGUAGCUAACGCGUGAAGUUGACCGCCUGGGGAGUACGGUCGCAAGAUUAAAACUUAAAGGAAUUGACGGGGUCAUAGCUGUUU